rnacentral:rRNA from 1 species
CAGUAGCCGCGGGAAAACGAAGGGUGCAAGCGUUACUCGGAAUUACUGGGCGUAAAGCGUGCGUAGGUGGUGGUUUAAGUCCGUUGUGAAAGCCCUGGGCUCAACCUGGGAAUUGCAGUGGAUACUGGAUCACUAGAGUGUGGUAGAGGAUAGUGGAAUUUCCGGUGUAGCAGUGAAAUGCGUAGAGAUCGGAAGGAACAUCUGUGGCGAAGGCGACUAUCUGGGCCAACACUGACGCUGAGGCACGAAAGCGUGGGGAGCAAACAGGAUUAGAUACCCCGGUAGUCCCUGUCUCUUAUAC